CCUACGGGAGGCAGCAGUGAGGAAUCUUGCGCAAUGGGGGCAACCCUGACGCAGCCACGCCGCGUGCUGGAAGACGGCCCUAUGGGUUGUAAACAGCUUUUGGUCGGGAAGAACCCGGGGGUUUCGAUCCCCGCUGACGGUACCGGCCGAAUAAGCACCGGCUAACUCCGUGCCAGCAGCCGCGGUA
rnacentral:rRNA from 1 species